rnacentral:rRNA from 1 species
CUGCCUUGAAAGAUCGGAGUGCUUGCACUCUGUGAAAACAAAGAUACAGGGCUAGCGGCGGACGGGGUGAGUAAACACUGGGGUAAACCUGCCCAAAGAAGAUCGGGAUAAACAACCUGGAAACAGAUGCUAAUACCGGAUAACAACAGAUGAUGCCUAUCAACUGUUUAAAAGAUGGUUCUGCUAUCACUCUUGGGAUGGACCUGCGGUGCAUUAGCUAGUUGGUAGGUAACGGCCUACCAAGGCGAUGAUGCAUAGCCCGAGUUGAGAGACUGAUCGGCCACAUUGGGACUGAGACACGGCCCAAACUCCUACGGGAGGCAGCAGUAGGGAAUCUUCCACAAUGGACGCAAGUCUGAUGGAGCAACGCCGCGUGAGUGAAGAAGGGUUUCGGCUCGUAAAGCUCUGUUGUUGGUGAAGAAGGACAGGGGGUAGUAACUGAUCUUUGUUUGACGGUAAUCAAUUAGAAAGUCACGGCUAACUACGUGCCAGCAGCCGCGGUAAU